rnacentral:rRNA from 9 species
GAAGUUUUCAGAGAUGAGAAUGUGCCUUCGGGAACCGUGAGACAGGUGCUGCAUGGCUGUCGUCAGCUCGUGUUGUGAAAUGUUGGGUUAAGUCCCGCAACGAGCGCAACCCUUAUCCUUUGUUGCCAGCGAUUAGGUCGGGAACUCAAAGGAGACUGCCAGUGAUAAACUGGAGGAAGGUGGGGAUGACGUCAAGUCAUCAUGGCCCUUACGACCAGGGCUACACACGUGCUACAAUGGCGCAUACAAAGAGAAGCGACCUCGCGAGAGCAAGCGGACCUCAUAAAGUGCGUCGUAGUCCGGAUUGGAGUCUGCAACUCGACUCCAUGAAGUCGGAAUCGCUAGUAAUCGUGGAUCAGAAUGCCACGGUGAAUACGUUCCCGGGCCUUGUACACACCGCCCGUCACACCAUGGGAGUGGGUUGCAAAAGAAGUAGGUAGCUUAACCUUCGGGAGGGCGCUUACCACUUUGUGAUUCAUGACUGGGGUGAAGUCGUAACAAGGUAACCGUAGGGGAACCUGCGGUUGGA